rnacentral:rRNA from 1 species
AUUGAACGCUGGCGGCAGGCCUAACACAUGCAAGUCGAGCGUGAAAGGGCUUCGGCCUGAGUAAAGCGGCGGGCGGGUGAGUAACGCGUAGGAAUCUACCUGGUAGUGGGGGAUAACGUUCCGAAAGGGACGCUAAUACCGCAUACGUUCUACGGAAGAAAGCGGGGGCUCACAAGACCUCGCGCUAUCAGAUGAGCCUGCGUCCGAUUAGCUAGUUGGUAGGGUAAAGGCCUACCAAGGCGACGAUCGGUAACUGGUCUGAGAGGAUGAUCAGUCACACUGGAACUGAGACACGGUCCAGACUCCUACGGGAGGCAGCAGUGGGGAAUAUUGGACAAUGGGGGCAACCCUGAUCCAGCCAUGCCGCGUGUGUGAAGAAGGCCUUCGGGUUGUAAAGCACUUUAAGCUGGGAGGAAGGCCCUGUGGCUAAUAUCCACGGGGAUUGACGUUACCAGCAGAAUAAGCACCGGCAAACUUCGUGCCAGCAGCCGCGGUAA